rnacentral:rRNA from 1 species
GAUGAACGCUGGCGGCGUGCCUAACACAUGCAAGUCGAGCGAAGCACCUUACUUGAUUUCUUCGGGAUGAAAGUAUUGUGACUGAGCGGGCGUACGGGUGAAGGUACGCGUAGUAGUAACCUGCCUCAUACAGGGGGAUAACAGUUAGAAAUGACUGCUAAUACCGCAUAAGACCACAGCACCGCAUGGUGCAGGGGUAAAAACUCCGGUGGUAUGAGAUGGAUCCGCGUCUGAUUAGCUAGUUGGUAAGGUAACGGCUUACCAAGGCAACGAUCAGUAGCCGACCUGAGAGGGUGACCGGCCACAUUGGGACUGAGACACGGCCCAA